rnacentral:lncRNA from 1 species
AGCCUGGACUGGGACCUUGCACUGGGGACUUGCUUUCUGCAAUCAGGCACUUUUUCAAGUUGGUUCUGAGCAGUUCUGUACUGGAUGGCGGGCUGCUGUAUGUGAUUGAGAAUGUUGCCUGUCUGAGCCCUGAGAUGAGCUGAGGGUUCCUCCUCCCCAGCCAGUGCCAGCCUCACAUAGCCCUUGUAAAUCUGAAAGUGCUGUUGGUAGCAACCAGGGAUGGGCAGAGGCAGCCCUGUCCUGAGGGUGACAUGAAAGUGAGAGCAAGCUGACGCUCCAGUUGCCUUAGUCUUCAAAAGUGUCACUUUCAGAUUGUAUCCUUCAACUUUAAAAUGUCCUUCUUUGGAGUCCAUCUUGCUCUGCCCAUUAUUGGGCCCCAGUGGUCACUUCCUCCUCCACGCUCCUGUGGCCUGGGAUUCACACCAGGAAAGAACGCCACGAAGAAGGAAUGGUUCAAAGAGGUUCACAGAGCCCUCAAGUACUGAGGGAAAGGUCUGCUCAGGGCACUUGAUCUCUGCCUGGAAGUAUAAUGAGGGUUUGCAUCUGGACAGUAGGGGAUGGAAGGCGGUCAUUCCACGUGGACGUAAGACUGGGCUGAAGAAAGAAAGGUUCCUUAAAUACAAUCUUAAAAUGUGAUCAUUGGCACAGAAUUCAGCUUUCUGAGUUACUACAUCUCCCAAAACAUGAGGAUGAAAGGGACGUUCUUCACAGGGGCAGGCAGUCUCUCCCAGAUCCACAAGGUCCUUCCCAUUUAUAUGCCCUACAGGUAUAAAAUCAAAGCAGGGGCAAAAUUGUUUUGUUGUAGGAGAGAUGAGCGCAUGAAGGAAAUGUCUGCACAAUUGGAGUGCCAGGAGGACAAUGAAGCCAAUCCCACAGAGAGGAAGCACACAGGGUGUCUCCAUGUCUCCAGUGGAAUAAAUCAUUUGCAAGGGCUGUGGCUAAUGUUUGGUCUGAACGAGGACCACACAGCUGGGACACUCUGUACUUUUGAUCUGGCCUUUCAAGCUUGGGUGAUGCCAGGAAAUUGCAUUUAAUGGACUGAAUGAAAGCUGCCGUAUAGAAAAUGAGAAGAGAUUAUUAGAAAAACAAUAGAGGCCAUUUUACCGCCCUCAGUGCCUCACACCUGUUUUUUGCGUGAGGUCCGUGAAUCUGGGCUUUGGCAGGGAGACUGGGACUCCGGGGCCACAAGGCCACAGCCUGGCCAGCUUGUGGUUAGAGACUUUCUCUGCACUAUACUGGCUGUGUCAGAGAACCAAGACAUACGUGCCUGCAUCGUCUUCACUGGGCAAGUCAUUUCAGUUGCAGGAAGCCAUGCACCUGCACUUCUUUGCCUUGAAAAUCACUAAUCUGGGGGGAGAGUGAUCAGUCAGCCUUGUCAGAGUUCAAUUGUGUGGCUUUACGCUCAUGGCCACACCUGACCCUUGGGCGCUGUGGGUGUAUAAAUAGCCUUAGAAAUGGUGCUGCUCUCAAGCCCUGUCUUGCAGGACUUCACCUGUAAAGGAAAGCUUUGUCUUCUCAUGACGGGACUUGAGAGCUUAUUUCAAUCCAAGAAAAGGGAGGGAAAACCAUCCUACAUCCCCUGAACAUGGAAACGUUUCAACCCUGAUGACCACUGGAUCUCCACAGCGGUCAGAGGGGCCUGAGGAAGAGUUUCCUUCCUUCCUCUCAUUCUUCCCAGUGUGAGGCUGACACCAGGGUGGAAUUUCCACAGAACUCACAGCACUGGGGGCAGGUGCAAAUGCAGAAGGGUGUAGAAACAGCCGCUUUGACUGGAGAGAGGAGAAAUGCUUGUUAGCUUCCUAUUUCCAUAUGACUGCAUGUCAUCAGUUCUGACAUGUUUCCAGGACAGAAAUUCCCUCUUGUGAGAGAAGUAUUGACAUGAAAUAGUUCCCCGUGAUCGGGGCGAGUGUGCUAAUGAUAAUAAUACAGAGGUGGUUUGUUGACACCAUAUGAGGUGCAUUGGUGCUCAGCUGUGUUUGAUGCUCAAGGAACUCUUUGACAUAGAGAAAGCAAGUGUCAAUAUCAUCUCCCAUUAUACAGAGAGCAAUGCCAAGUCUUAGAGCAUUACAAAGCAGGUCAAAGAAAGGUGGAGUUGGAGCUGAAGGGCAACCAAUUGAUAGUGCACAGAGGCUAAGUUACAUGACCAAGGUCCUUAUCUGGUACAGACAGUUGACUUUUGGCAUCUGUGAGUUCUGCACAGAGUACUACCUAUGGAUAUUUACAUCUUCAGAUGAAGGUGUACUUGAUUACUUGCUCAGCUUCAUAAUUUACCCUUCUUUAAAAAUUACUGGGCAAAUAACUACUACUAUAAAAAGUUCCCCAGCCUAUUCUGGAUUACAAUUUCUGAUGAAGAUCUUUUUCCCUUUCAUGUGCUUGGCCAGAUAUGCUUAGGGUAAACAUUAUGAAGGUGUUUACUGAUUGGCCCUGCUAUUUUAGGGCAUAUGGAAAGUGGAAUGAGCCUUUUUCCCUUCAUCAUAUUCUAGUGGCAUAUAGCAUAUAAAAAUUGAAAAGCUACAUUAAGAAGACACCAUUGGCUGGGCGCGGUGGCUCACACCUGUAAUUCUAGGAUUUUGGGAGGCCGAGGCAGGUGGAUCAUCAGAGGUCAGGAGUUCAAGACCCGCCUGGUCAAUGUGGUGAAACCCUGUCUCUACUAAAAACACAAAAAUUAGCUGGGUGUGGUGGCACGUGCCUGUAGUCCCAGCUACUUGGGAGGCUGAGGCAGGAGAAUCGCUUGAAUCUGGUGGUGAAGGUUGCAGUGAGCUGAGAUCGCGUGCGCCACUGCACUCUAGCCUGGGUGACAACGAGACUGCAUCUCAAAAAAGAAAAGAAAAAAAA